AUUGAACGCUGGCGGCAGGCCUAACGCAUGCAAGUCUAGCGGAUGAAGGGAGCUUGCUCCUGGAUUCAGCGGCGGACGGGUGAGUAAUGCCUAGGAAUCUGCCUGGUAGUGGGGGAUAACGUCCGGAAACGGGCGCUAAUACCGCAUACGUCCUGAGGGAGAAAGUGGGGGAUCUUCGGACCUCACGGUAUCAGAUGAGCCUAGGUCGGAUUAGCUAGUUGGUGGGGUAAGGGCCUACCAAGGCGACGAUCCGUAACUGGUCUGAGAGGAUGAUCAGUCACACUGGAACUGAGACACGGUCCAGACUCUGACGGGAGGCAGCAGUGGGGAAUAUUGGACAAUGGGCGAAAGCCUGAUCCAGCCAUGCCGCGUGUGUGAAGAAGGUCUGCGGAUUGUAAAGCACUUUAAGUUGGGAGGAAGGGCAGUAAGUUAAUACCUUGCUGUUUGGACGUUACCAACAGAAUAAGCACCGGCUAACUUCGU
rnacentral:rRNA from 1 species